UUGAUGAUGAUGAUACCCUCGU
rnacentral:piRNA from 1 species